rnacentral:lncRNA from 1 species
GCAGCAAAGUAUUUGGCAUAGGAAACAUUCAUCAACACCAAUCAAUUGCACUAAAUUCUUGUCAACCGUGAGUGUGAUAUGUAAUCUAUGAGUCACUAGGAAUAAAACAUGAGGAUUUAACUGCAGGGAUUUUAAGCAUGCCUGCUGAUAAAGUCAGCAAGCACAUCUGCUGGUGAGCUGCUUUGGAGAUACUCUUUUAAGUUGUGUUGUUUCAACUACUCUGAGAAAUACAGUGUAUUGCAUUCCUACAAUUCCAAAUCUUAAGUAAACUACUAGAUUAUCCCUGGAGGUGUUCAAGACCAGGUUGGAUGGGCCCUGGGAAGCCUGUUCUAGUACCAGAUCUGGAGACUCCCAUUAAAGAAGGAAGAAAGACAUUCAAGAAAUGGACCCUCUCCUGCCAGAGCCACUGCUCCCUCCAGAGCUCAGCCCUCUACUGUGAUGAAUUACUACUUAAUCCAAGUAAUUUAUUUUCCAGAUUAAUAUUGAACUUGAAUUUAUUGUGAAAUAAAUAAAUAAAUGCAUUAUAGGCUAGAUUUUUU